rnacentral:lncRNA from 1 species
AUGAAUCCACAUGGAUCCUGUGAGGACUCCUUGCUCAGAAGGCUGUUGGAAGCUGCUCUGAAGGCAUUUGCUAUUCAUAUGAAAGCCACAAGGCAGAUGUUUCCCUGGGGAGCCACUGGCCUCUUCCUGGAAGAUGCAGGUUUUGUCAUACAGGAGCUCAGGAGCAGGUACUCAGCUCAGGCCCAAAUUCAUCUCACCGAUCUUGGAUGCUCCAGCUGGCAGCAAGGUGAGCCCCACUGACCAAUUCUGAGAGAAAACAGAGAAAACACAGAAAAUCUCUGGUACAGGGGGUAAACCUGCCCUGGUCCCAGGUCUUCCAGGAAUGGUGUUUUGCUUUACAUGGCCCAUUUUCUAUAUGGGCAGUCCAGGGCAAAUGAUUUGUAUUUUCUUCAAUUUUCAGCUUCCUCUCAAAUUUCCAGUCACAACCAAGAAGUAUUUUAUAUUUGUGCAGUGUGCCAUUUCUCCACUGAUGCAGCAUGGCUGUGCUUUCUCCUUGUGAAUCCAUGGUGUGGCCACAGGUUUUUUGUGUUUGCCCCAUGGCUAUGGCCUGGAGUGGAGGCAAAACAGGAUCCUUGAGGGGAUCAAGACAAUUUGGGGGACCUCAGGAGGCUGAAUUAUCCUCUCACCCUCCCACACCACAUCAUAACCACAGCGCAAAAGGAAACCACAAGCACACGCACUGACCCCCUGCAUCUGCCAGCUCUGAGAUCAGCCCCAGCACUGCUGAUACUUACAGCCCCAUGAGCACUGCAGGGACCCUCUUUCCAGGUCUUCUUCAUGAGGAAUAGCAGGACUUCCUGACCCGCCUCUGGGGCUGUGAUAAGAAAUUUGGGUUCUCCUACCCUCCCAGCCCCUUACCUUGAAAGGUGUCUGCAGGUUAGUAUUUCCCUUCUGCCUGAUGCUACUAUAGGAUCAUAAUAUGGGAGAUGUAGGGCCGGGAAGGAUGGAGAAACCCUAGGACAUGUUGCCCUCAUGUGCUGCUGGUGAAGAUUGGCUGGAUCAUCACAGUGGGGUACUGGACUAAGACUCUCUGGACCUCUAAGACCCACUGCAACCAUUUCAGACCUCUCUGGAUAUCUCACAGCAGCCACUGAGGCUCUAAGUGGUGACAAUGUGGCCUCUGCAGCGAGGAUGAGCUCCUCCACCUGGGGAGUCACCAUGGGACCAAUGCCAUCUCACAGUAACAGGUCUCCCUGAUGACAUGGUGUCCAACCAGGCCAAGGGAAGCUGCUCCUUCUGGGCACCUCUGGUGGCUCUAGAUCAAGGCCCGGCAGAGCAGUAGCGCUGGGGCAGACCCCAAACCUCCUGCAGGCCUGCCCACAAACCUAAAAGCUGUCGAUCAGGAGAUGGAGAAGAGUCAGGACAAUAAGGGCACGUUUUUACUGCUGGAGGAUUUCAGCUGCUCAAGGGGAAAUGGCAAGGAAGUAAAUAAUCCCUGGCUCAACCCGUUUCUUGUUGCCUUUCAUGAGUGACAUCCCUAACCCCUUCGUGCUCUGAGCCAUGCUCUUGCUGGUGAUGAUGGAGGUGGAAGGGACAUCGGGGUGAACCGGGGGCUGGCUUUCCAUGAGUUUCUGCAGGGCAGCACCAGCAUCACCCAGACCCCAUUGGGAACUGUAACCCAGCAUCGCUGCCCUCUGUCAGUAAUCCUUCCUGGUCUAUGGUAAUAUCAGCCCUUCGUGGCAUAGGUUGGGAAGAGGGCAGCAAGUCUUGGGGUGGAGAUACCCACAGAAAAGCAGGCUGUGAUGCAUGGAAAAGGGAAUUCAAAGUGGUUUUGGGGUGCUAAGAAGAUACAGACUAAAGGCAAAGGAUGCACCUGGGGGGCACAUUUGGUCCUAGGCUACGGCUCAUUUAGGGCAGAGAGCCAUUGUGUAUCCAGCAGAGGUGUUUCCCAGCACCCGGGCCUGAUGCAAAUCAUAUGUGGGGAGCUUUUAAAAAGCAGACAUCGCUAGAGUUUCCACCUCUUUUAUUAGAAAUAAGACACAUUCAUUUUGUGCUCUGAAAACUGUACAGAAAAAAAAAAACUGACGAACAUAGAGAGGAGGGAAGGAAGGGAUGGCGUGGCAUGGGGCGGGUAGGGUGAGGAAAAACAGAAUUAACCGAAGGAACUGAGCAGAGAAAGUCGAAUAUCAACAGUUAUUAAACAAACAUUUAUCUCUGUAAUUACAUAACACCGUUAAUGUCCUGCAAGUAGGCCAGAGUGAAUGGGUGAAUGGGAAAGGUUGGGGAGGAGAGGGCAGGUUCAGGUAGGCAGGGAGAGGAGAAAAAAAAAAAAGAAAAAAAUAUUUAAAACACAGUAUAAAGAUAUCUGUUUGCUAAAAUUCAUUAUUUGUAAUUAUAAUAAUUACAAUAUCAUACAACCCGGCAUCUGAGGGAGGCCUUUGUGCUUUCCUGUUUCAUAGAAUAAUCUAAAAUUGGACAAUAAUAUCACAGUUUUUAUAAGUAAUCAUUUUCCUAUUAUUAACCUGUUUGGAUUUUCAAGUUUUUCUUUCCAUCCGUCAUAUUACACACUUAAUGGCAAGGUAAAUGCCACUGUCCUUAGAGACCAACAACCCAGGUGGCCCAACGGAAAGCUGGCACAGAGAUGUUUGCAUGUCCAGCAACACCUCUCAGUGGGAGAAGCACAACUGGGGGCAGUGACUGUUUUACCUCUUGGGUUCAUAGCUUUUUCCUAAAAACGUUAAAAUAAUAAUAAUUAAAAAAAAAAAAAAAAAAGGAAACCCAGACAUUAAGUAAUAACUCAGACCCUUAUCAAGCUUUACUGCUGUCUGGCAGAAUCCGGCCACUCACAGACAGAGGUUUGGCACUGCACAUCUCCAAAGCUGGGAAAGUUGUCCCAAAUGUGAGACACCGUUGGGAAUGAUUAAAAAAAAUAAUAAUACAUGAAAUAAAAGGCUGCAUGGAAUGCCA